rnacentral:rRNA from 1 species
AUUGAACGCUGGCGGCAGGCCUAACACAUGCAAGUCGAGCGGAUGAAGGGAGCUUGCUCCUGGCUUCAGCGGCGGACGGGUGAGUAAUGCCUAGGAAUCUGCCUGGUAGUGGGGGAUAACGUCCGGAAACGGGCGCUAAUACCGCAUACGUCCUGAGGGAGAAAGGGGGGGAUCUUCGGACCUCACGCUAUCAGAUGAGCCUAGGUCGGAUUAGCUAGUUGGUGGGGUAAAGGCCUACCAAGGCGACGAUCCGUAACUGGUCUGAGAGGAUGAUCAGUCACACUGGAACUGAGACACGGUCCAGACUCCUACGGGAGGCAGCAGUGGGGAAUAUUGGACAAUGGGCGAAAGCCUGAUCCAGCCAUGCCGCGUGUGUGAAGAAGGUCUUCGGAUUGUAAAGCUCUUUAAGUUGGGAGGAAGGGCAGUGAGUUAAUACCUUGCUGUUUUGACGGUACCAACAGAAUAAGCACCGGCUAACUACGUG